rnacentral:rRNA from 1 species
AGAGUUUGAUUCUGGCUCAGGAUGAACGCUAGCUACAGGCUUAACACAUGCAAGUCGAGGGGUAGCAGGGUAGCAAUACCGCUGACGACCGGCGCACGGGUGAGUAACACGUAUCCAACCUACCGUUAACACGGGGAUAGCCUUUCGAAAGAAAGAUUAAUACCCGAUGGUAUGUAAGCAUCGCAUGGUGCUUCCAUUAAAUGAAUUUCGGUUAUCGAUGGGGAUGCGUUCCAUUAGACAGUUGGUGGGGUAACGGCCCACCAAAUCUACGAUGGAUAGGGGUUCUGAGAGGAAGGUCCCCCACACUGGUACUGAGACACGGACCAGACUCCUACGGGAGGCAGCAGUGAGGAAUAUUGGUCAAUGGUCGCGAGACUGAACCAGCCAAGUAGCGUGAAGGAUGAAGGUUCUAUGGAUUGUAAACUUCUUUUAUAGGGGAAUAAUGUGUGGUACGUGUACCAUAGUGUAUGUACCUUAUGAAUAAGCAUCGGCUAACUCCGUGCCAGCAGCCGCGGUAAUACGGAGGAUGCGAGCGUUAUCCGGAUUUAUUGGGUUUAAAGGGUGCGUAGGCGGGCUGAUAAGUCAGCUGUGAAAGUUCGGGGCUCAACCCCGAAAUUGCAGUUGAUACUGCCAGUCUUGAGUGUGGUAGAGGGUAGCGGAAUUCGUGGUGUAGCGGUGAAAUGCUUAGAUAUCACGAAGAACUCCGAUUGCGAAGGCAGCUGCCUGGGCCAUACUGACGCUGAUGCACGAAAGUGU